rnacentral:rRNA from 1 species
AUGCUGAAGGCGACGACGAUGCCCGCCAAGUUCUGGGGGGAAGCGGUGACCACGACUGUCUUCCUCCUCAACCGCGCACCUACGAAGAGCGUGCACAGCAUGACACCGUACGAGGCCUGGCAUGGAGUGCGCCCUGCGGUGCACUUGCUUCACACUUUUGGGUGUGUGGCACAUGUCAAGAAUGUGCGCCCGCACUUGAAGAAGCUCGACGACAGAUCGACGCCGAUGGUGUUCAUCGGCUACGAGGAAGGCGGCAAGGCGUAUCGCCUCUUUGAUCCGGUGGGUGGGCGCUUCCAUGUGACGCGCGACGCCGUCUUCGACGAGGGAGCACACUGGAACUGGGAUGCGGAGGAGCGUGCGGCAGGCGCCAACGCAUUCACCGUCAACUACGAGGUGCGUCGUGUACCUGCAAUGGCGGGGAGGAUCGUGCCUAACACACCGCCACGCCAGUUCUCUGGUGCGGCCGGAGCGACGCCCGAGCCAGAGAGCGCAGCCGUAUCGACGGCGGGCGGCGCGUCAGAAGCAGCGGCGGCAGCUUCCCCAACACGCACCGCGCCCGCGAUGCCCAGCUCAGCGGCAACGGCAGCAUCUCCAACACAUACCGAGCCCGUAACGCCCAGCUCAGCAACAACUUCAGCAUCUCCGGCGAGCAGUCCACGGAUCGCCUACGUCACGCCACCAACACCAUGCUCGGAGAUGCAUGAUGCAGCCGUGGACGCCCACGGUCCUCUUCGCUUCCGGCGUUUGUCGGACCUGUUCGACACAGACCUGGAUGAGGAGGAGGAGCCGUCCUCGUUUUCUGAAGCAGAGCAGGAGCCGAGCUGGAGAAAGGCCAUGAUCGAGGAAAUAGGCUCGAUUGAGGAUAAUCAAACCUGGGAGCUCACUGAUCUUCCCCUAGGUCACAUUUCCAUUGGACUAAAAUGGGUGUUUAAGGUCAAGCGCGACGAGGACGGCGUGGUGACCAAGUACAAAGCGCGGCUGGUGGCAAAAGGUUUCGUCCAGCAGGAAGGCAUAGACUUCGACGAGGUAUUCGUGCCGGUCGCUCGCAUGGACUCGGUACGUUUGAUGCUCGCACUCGCCGCGCAGGAAGGCUGGCGCGUCCAUCACAUGGAUGUGAAGUCUGCCUUCCUCAACGGCGACUUGGCGGAGGAGGUGUACGUCCGGCAGCCGCCGGGCUUUGUCAUUGCAGGAGAGGAGCACAAGGUGCUGAAAUUGAGGAAGGCACUCUAUGGCCUACGACAAGCACCGCGGGAUUGGAAUGCCAAGCUGGACGCCACACUCGCUGCUCUGGGCUUUGUCAGGAGCAGCUCAGAGCACGCGGUCUACGUCCGGCGCGGGCUCUUGGUGGGCGUGUACGUCGACGACCUCCUCAUCACCGGACCAAGCGACGACGACAUCCGCAACUUCAAGGGGGAGAUGAUGGCCAAGUUUCACAUGAGCGACCUGGGCCUACUCACCUACUACCUCGGCAUCGAGGUGCACCAGAGCGCGCACGGGGUCAUGCUCGGCCAAGCUGCGUACGCGCGCAAGAUCCAGGCGGACAUGCUGGACUACAACCCCUGCCACGCACCUAUGGAGUCCAGGCUCAAAUUGAGCAAGAAUAGCAAGGCUCCACCGACGAACGCCAGCGACUAUAGAAGCAUCGUCGGCAGUCUCAGGUAUCUGGUUCACACUCGACCAGACAUGUCGUUUGCCGUUGGGUAUGUGAGCAGGUUCAUGGAAGCACCUACGACGGAGCACCUCACUGCGGUCAAGCAUAUCCUACGCUACAUCGCCGGCACAAUCGACUACGGCUGCAGCUACCGGAGGAGCGGUAGCCCAGUUCUGUCCGGGUACAGUGACAGUGACCUGGGAGGCGAUCCAGACACACGCAAGAGCACCACUGGUCUCCUCUGGUAUCUCGGUGACAGUCUGUUUUCAUGGCAAUCCCUGAAGCACAAAGUGGUGGCGCUUUCAUCUUGUGAGGCCGAGUACAUGGCCGCCACGGCGACGACGUGCUAUGGUGUGUGGCUCACUCGUCUCCUGAAGGAUCUGACGGGGAGAGAAGCUGGUGUGCCCAUUCUGAAGAUGGACAACAAAUCUGCAAUCGCCCUCGCCAAGAACCCUGUCCAUCAUGAUCGCGGUAAGCACAUAGACUUGCGAUUUCAUUUCAUCAGGGACUGUGUGGAGGAGAAGAAGAUCGCGGUGGACUACAUCGGCACUGGCCUUCAGCUCGCAGACAUCUUGACAAAGCCGUCGGGCAAGAUCAAGUUUCAGGAGCCGAGGAGCAAGAUUGGAGUCGUCAAAAUAAGGUAG